rnacentral:rRNA from 1 species
AGUGAACGCUGGCGGUAGGCCUAACACAUGCAAGUCGAACGGCAGCACAGUAAGAGCUUGCUCUUACGGGUGGCGAGUGGCGGACGGGUGAGGAAUACAUCGGAAUCUACUUUUUCGUGGGGGAUAACGUAGGGAAACUUACGCUAAUACCGCAUACGACCUACGGGUGAAAGCAGGGGAUCUUCGGACCUUGCGCGAUUGAAUGAGCCGAUGUCGGAUUAGCUAGUAGGCGGGGUAAAGGCCCACCAAGGCGACGAUCCGUAGCUGGUCUGAGAGGAUGAUGAGCCACACUGGAACUGAGACACGGUCCAGACUCCUACGGGAGGCAGCAGUGGGGAAUAUUGGACAAUGGGCGCAAGCCUGAUCCAGCCAUACCGCGUGGGUGAAGAAGGCCUUCGGGUUGUAAAGCCCUUUUGUUGGGAAAGAAAAGCAGCAGGUUAAUACCCCGCUGUUCUGACGGUACCCAAAGAAUAAGCACCGGCUAACUUCGUG